AAUCACAUCUCAGGGCUGGAAGGAGUCUGAGGAGAUUAUCGGUUCAGCCUCUUGCCUCUGGACAAUUAACUCCAAAACUGCAAACACCCCAAAGGGAAUGAGGGCUAUCAGGGCAAAGCAUAUCACUCUCAGAUGCGGCAGAGGGCCUCCGGGCACUGACUCGUCUCCUGCCGAGCCCACAUCUCCCACCACCUCCUUCAAGGAAUUCAGUGCUUCAGCAGUGAUGGCGACAACGACUACAACGAUGAUGACAACUUUGGUAUCUGACAUCCUUGGAGCUCCCGUGAGUUAGAUGGAGACAACAAUUCCUGUUCCCAGCAUCAUGGAAGGUGUUAAGAAAUCACAGAUGCCACAAAUGACAGAUGGUGCUGUCAGGCUCGGAAAUCACGAUUCUACACCAAGUACCUCCCAUGAAGGAUGAUGGCUUGAAGACCUCUGUCAAUCACCUAGCAGAGCAGAUGAGUGCCCAAGUAUUUCUGAUUUUAAGGAGCGCUUUAAUCCAAUCAAUUUCAGAGAGUCUAACUUCCUCUGAGCCAUGCAUGGAUUAAUUCUAUAAGAGUGCCUUUUCCAUUAAAGAAACUGAUUGCAAACUUCCCUUCUAAUUGUGAAAAUGCUCACCUGCUCAAA